rnacentral:rRNA from 1 species
GAUGAACGCUAGCGGCAGGCUUAAUACAUGCAAGUCAAGGGGGUAGCAAUACAACCGGCGCACGGGUGAGUAACGCGUACACAACAUACUAUAUACUGGAGUAUAGCUUUGGGAAACUGAAGGUAAUCCUCCAUAACAUUGCGAGAGGGCAUCUGAUUGCAAUUAAAGUUUCGGCGGUAUAUGAUUGGUGUGCGUUUGAUUAGCUAGUUGGUAGGGUAACGGCCUACCAAGGCGACGAUCAAUAGCUGGCGUGAGAGCGCGACCAGCCACACUGGAACUGAGACACGGUCCAGACUCCUACGGGAGGCAGCAGUAAGGAAUAUUGGUCAAUGGAGGGAACUCUGAACCAGCCAUGCCGCGUGAAGGAUGACGGCCCUCUGGGUUGUAAACUUCUUUUGGAUGGGGCGAAAAAACGGGAUUUAUCCUGGACUGACGGUACCAUCAGAAUAAGCACCGGCUAACUCCGUG